UCCGCAGGGGGGAGCGCGACCGCUGCAUCCAAAAAGCAUGGAACAUCGACCUUUUUAUUUUUUUUUUGCUGGAAACACUUGAAAGUUGAAAAUCAUCAAAUUGUUCUUCCACAUGGAAAUCAUAAACAUCAACCCCAUUCCUACCCUGUCACGAAUGUACACACUUCUUAUGCAAGUUCUGCCUUGCUGACUCGAUUCAAGUCGCAUUCCUCUCUCGAUUUGUCUUGAAGUAAUGCAAGCACGAGUUUCAAGCGUCCACAAUGACAAUUCGACAAACGGGUUCGCAUAUUUUCUCGCCAUGCUUUUGGAGGAUGCGCUUCAACUCUCCGAUUUACUUGUGAAGGCACCACUAGAAUCUCAGAACCAACCAUGAACUGCUGAUAACUCAACUGAAGCACAUGUUCAUCACCUGGGUAAUGGAGAAAUAGGUGGCGGCAUACAGGCAGCCCUUUUUGUGCAGCUUCCUGUGCAGAAAGAACUUGAAAAGGACAUGUUAGGUGUUUGCUGAACUGAAUCUACAAAAUCUGGCAUUAAAUUGGUGCAAGGAUUUUUGGAAUCACCUUCACCAGUUGAAUACGGUAAAAUUUCCAGGCUGCGUACACUUUUGCAAAGCGUGCAAAAUGUGACAGUGUUCGUUGGUUUGAGUAGAACUGGCUGUUGCGAGAUGGUUUAUUUCCCUGUUUGCCGAAGAUACAAAAUUUUCAGAAACCGAUUGAUGUACAAGUUGGGUAUUCCAGGAAAAGUAGUCUCAGAGAUUUAAUGCGUUGCCGUCAAACUUUAGCAACGAUUUAUUGAAAUUGAAAGUUCCCUUUCUCGUGGCCCUUAAGAUGGCCCAUAUUAUUCAGAAUAA